rnacentral:tRNA from 1 species
UCCCUGGUGGCUCAGACAAUACAGAAUCUGCCUGCAAUGCAGAAGACUCAGGUUCGAUCCCUGAGUCGGGAA